CCUACGGGCGGCAGCAGUGGGGAAUAUUGGACAAUGGGGGGAACCCUGAUCCAGCCAUGCCGCGUGUGUGAAGAAGGCCCUCGGGUUGGAAAGCACUUUCAGUGAGGAAGAACGCCUGGUGGUUAAUACCCAUCAGGAAAGACAUCACUCACAGAAGAAGCACCGGCUAACUCCGUGCCAGCAGCCGCGGUAAUACGGAGGGUGCGAGCGUUAAUCGGAAUUACUGGUCGUAAAGCGCGCGUAGGUGGCUUGAUAAGCCGGUUGUGAAAGCCCCGGGCUCAACCUGGGAACGGCAUCCGGAACUGUCAAGCUAGAGUGAAGGAGAGGAAGGUAGUAUUCCCGGUGUAGCGGUGAAAUGCGUAGAGAUCGGGAGGAAUACCAGUGGCGAAGGCGGCCUUCUGGACUGACACUGACACUGAGGUGCGAAAGCGUGGGUAGCAAACAGGAUUAGAUACCCCAGUAGUC
rnacentral:rRNA from 1 species